ACUCCGUGCCAGCAGCCGCGGUAAUACGGAGGGUGCGAGCGUUAAUCGGAAUUACUGGGCGUAAAGCGCAUGCAGGUGGUUUGUUAAGUCAGAUGUGAAAGCCCGGGGCUCAACCUCGGAAUUGCAUUUGAAACUGGCAGACUAGAGUACUGUAGAGGGGGGUAGAAUUUCAGGUGUAGCGGUGAAAUGCGUAGAGAUCUGAAGGAAUACCGGUGGCGAAGGCGGCCCCCUGGACAGAUACUGACACUCAGAUGCGAAAGCGUGGGGAGCAAACAGGAUUAGAUACCCUGGUAGUCCACGCCGUAAACGAUGUCUACUUGGAGGUUGUGGCCUUGAGCCGUGGCUUUCGGAGCUAACGCGUUAAGUAGACCGCCUGGGGAGUACGGUCGCAAGAUUAAAACUCAAAUGAAUUGACGGGGGCCCGCACAAGCGGUGGAGCAUGUGGUUUAAUUCGAUGCAACGCGAAGAACCUUACCUACUCUUGACAUCCAGAGAACUUUCCAGAGAUGGAUUGGUGCCUUCGGGAACUCUGAGACAGGUGCUGCAUGGCUGUCGUCAGCUCGUGUUGUGAAAUGUUGGGUUAAGUCCCGCAACGAGCGCAACCCUUAUCCUUGUUUGCCAGCGAGUAAUGUCGGGAACUCCAGGGAGACUGCCGGUGAUAAACCGGAGGAAGGUGGGGACGACGUCAAGUCAUCAUGGCCCUUACGAGUAGGGCUACACACGUGCUACAAUGGCGCAUACAGAGGGCAGCCAACUUGCGAAAGUGAGCGAAUCCCAAAAAGUGCGUCGUAGUCCGGAUUGGAGUCUGCAACUCGACUCCAUGAAGUCGGAAUCGCUAGUAAUCGUGGAUCAGAAUGCCACGGUGAAUACGUUCCCGGGCCUUGUACACACCGCCCGUCACACCAUGGGAGUGGGCUGCAAAAGAAGUAGGUAGUUUAACCUUCGGGGGGACGCUUACCACUUUGUGGUUCAUGACUGGGGUGAAGUCGUAACAAGGUAGCGCUAGGGGAACCUGGCGCUGGA
rnacentral:rRNA from 1 species